GUCAGCGCACCAACGCGCCCCACGCGGGGGGUUUCGGAUGAUCCACCAAGAGGACGGCCCUUUUCCUGUGUGUUCCUGCUGUUUCUAUCAUAAAACUUGUCAACCGAGAAACGGAUAUGAGGGACACAUGCCCAGGGCUCUGUUCUGCUCAGCCCAGCAUCUGAAUUCAACAAAUGGAAUAAUGAGAAUAGAAGACGGAUCCACCCUUCCAGUAGAACAUCAGGUUCAGAAAGAAUACACUGGACACUUUGAAAAGACUCUGAUGCUGGGAGGGAUUGGAGCAGGAGGAGAAGGGGACGACAG